rnacentral:rRNA from 1 species
UCUUUUCCUUUUUUUCCAGCCGCCGCGGUAAUACGGAAGGUCCGGGCGUUAUCCGGAUUUAUUGGGUUUAAAGGGAGCGCAGGCGGACCUUUAAGUCAGCUGUGAAAUACGGCGGCUCAACCGUCGAACUGCAGUUGAUACUGGAGGUCUUGAGUGCACACAGGGAUGCUGGAAUUCAUGGUGUAGCGGUGAAAUGCUCAGAUAUCAUGAAGAACUCCGAUCGCGAAGGCAGGCAUCCGGGGUGCAACUGACGCUGAGGCUCGAAAGUGCGGGUAUCAAACAGG